CCGAAAUUUCGGUUGACAAAAGUCAAGUUAAUGGGGAUUUUAAGCCUAAGAAUAUCUAAUUGGUAACUUUGACCAUUUGCAGAUUCCGGACGAAACGGGAUUUGAUUUUAGGGAGAGCAUAAGACGUCUAUAAGGUACAUAUAUUGGUGAUCCUCCACUGUAGGCUUCACUCUCUGCUAUUUCGGAGUACUCCUUCUUGACUCGGAAUCCACUUUUGGUACAGACUUCUUUUGCUAUGUAUAUAUCCUGUACAUUUGACUAUUUGGGUACGGCGGGGCCCUGUCUCGCCAUAUGUCUUUGUUUUGUAUUCGUAGAGGCCUGUAGUCAUAUAUGUGGGGCGAGGGUCCUAUAUAUGUUUGUUCGAUUU